rnacentral:sRNA from 1 species
UUUUAUUUCAAAGGUGGUCGCUGGAGUGAACUACGACAUUACUGCAUACCUCGAGGCUGGGCUGGAGAGAGAUAAAUGUGUUGGUGUUGUAUGGGCCAGAGAGUGGCUCAAUGAGCCAGACAGGUACCAACUAACUAAAGGACCAAACUGUACUAAGGUUUAAAGACUUUAAGCUCAAGUAUCACAACAAAGGUUGCACCAAGGGGAUACAACAAGAGUUACAACAAGGGUUACAACAUGAUUUAACGAAUAAAGAAAAGAGUGAAAUAAAAAGAAUUGGCUUAUAUAUAGUUUUGGUUUGUUAAUUUAGCCAAAUAUGUUAUUGUUUUCUGUAAAAUAUCAAAGCUGAAAAAAAAUAUUUAUAAAUGAGAAAAUAAAAUAAUUUUAAAACAUUU